UGAAGAUACACUAUUGUUUCUGUUGCUUAUAUUAGAAGACUACAUGUAGAGUUUGUAGUUAACACAUGGAGAAAAAAAAACAGUAGGAUUCUUUAUAGGAAUUUUUGCUCAUUUCUUUUUCAAGUUGUGAGUCUACAAACUGUGAGGUAACUUUCAAUGCAAGAAAGAUAUUUCUUUGAUAUACUAUAAAUAUUGGUAAAGUGCCUGGGAAAUGUUAGCUAACUGUGAAAUUAGAGGAAACAGUUCACGCAAGAACUCUUUCCCUUUUGAAACAAUUCCUGACUCAAGAAUUUCCCCAAAACAUUCUUAAUUUCAGUAACUUCCUAGAAGAACUCAUUGACCUUACUGAGAACUGUUAUACUUGUGGUUAUGAUUUACUACAGGGAAAGGAUACAGAUUAAAAUCAGCCAGGAGAAAAGACACAUGGGCAGAGUCCUGAAGCAUAUCAAAUGGAGAGCUUUCAGUUGUCCUUUUGCUGUGUGAUUAUACAGACACUCUUUGUAUUGCUAACCAGGGAAGCUCACCGGGGACUUGUCGUCCGAAGAUUUUAUUGGUGCCUCAUCACAUAGGUGUGAGUGAUUGCCCACAUGGUUUCUCUCCAGCUUCAGCUUCUCUAGAGGUCAAUUUAUAUCAUGGGAUCUUAUACCAGAGCCUCUAACCUGUAUCAUAUUGUUGGUGUGGUUCAGAUCCCUCACUCUAAUGUUGUUGCUAUCUAUGUGGCUGGCUCAAGGCACCCAGAGAAAUAAAGAUGCUCCUAUCAGGCAUGAUGUUCCAAGGGACUGCAGAUUGCCUUCCAGAAGUCAAAGGCAAGGUCCAGACCACUUUUUGGACAAGGAAAUACAGACUUCCCAUUCUUUCUUCAGACAUCAAAAUGGGCCUCUGAGAAAAUUCAAAUGGACCCUCCAAUUCCCAUCUACUCAGAGGACAAGGAGACAGUGAAUCUUCUUUUCAGAAAUCCUUCGGAGUAAUCUGACUGACGCGUCACCCCCACUGAUUACUAGGCUGAUUCAGCUAAUCAGGUAGGCUUGAUGGCAUUUAUUUCCUCUUUUACUCAUUGGCAAAUACAUUUUGCUCUUCCAUUUCAAACUCUGUUCAAACUUCUAUUACAGAAGGGGCUUUCUUUAAUCAGCAAUAUAGUAGCUAUGUUUUAUAAGUAGAAUAUAUAUGAAAAUGUGGACCCUGUAAUUACAUGAUAGCACUUGCUUCUUUAGAAUUUUUUUUCUAGACUACUAAGAUUAUUAUAGCAUGUCAGAAAAUUUAGAUUCUUGCACAAGCAUCAGUUUAUUCAUUUACUUAGUUAUUAAUCCAUCUGUUUAAAUGAUAUGAAAGUACCAAACACCUCCAUAACCCUCAAAGAUUGUUUAUUUUAGUGAGAGAUAGUAACAAAGAGC
rnacentral:lncRNA from 1 species